AGAGUUUGAUCCUGGCUCAGGAUGAACGCUAGCGGCAGGCUUAAUACAUGCAAGUCGUGGGGCAGCGCAGGUAGCAAUACUGGGCGGCGACCGGCAAACGGGUGCGGAACACGUACACAACCUUCCUUCAAGUGGGGAAUAGCCCAGAGAAAUUUGGAUUAAUACCCCGUAACAUAACGAUGUGGCAUCACAUUGUUAUUAUAGCUUCGGCGCUUGUUGAUGGGUGUGCGGCUGAUUAGAUAGUUGGCGGGGUAACGGCCCACCAAGUCUACGAUCAGUAGCUGAUGUGAGAGCAUGAUCAGCCACACGGGCACUGAGACACGGGCCCGACUCCUACGGGAGGCAGCAGUAAGGAAUAUUGGUCAAUGGACGAAAGUCUGAACCAGCCAUGCCGCGUGAAGGAUUAAGGUCCUCUGGAUUGUAAACUUCUUUUAUCUGGGACGAAAAAAGGCGAUUCUUCGUCACUUGACGGUACCAGAUGAAUAAGCACCGGCUAACUCCGUGCCAGCAGCCGCGGUAAUACGGAGGGUGCAAGCGUUAUCCGGAUUCACUGGG
rnacentral:rRNA from 1 species